CUGUAAAGAUCACCAGUUUCUAGAUUUUCACAUCCAAAAACAGCUCGCUGGGGUGCCAACUCACUUUGGUUCCCAAAGGACACAAUGUCCUCUCCAAGCACUCCACUACUAGAGCUCAUCUCAGCAUAUUGCCUUUCAUAAAUACAUUGCUCUCUCUCAUUGUCGCAAGUACAAUCAACAUUGCACUUCACAGGUUGAUAGGUACUUGACAUUUCUGGCUGAAACUUAGGAUCCUGAUGGUUGCCACACUGUUCACAAGUAGAGCAAGGAACAUAGGUAACAG
rnacentral:misc_RNA from 1 species